rnacentral:misc_RNA from 1 species
AAAUUUGACCAUGGUGGUGUUGUCUAGGCAAGUAGUUAAUGAACAAUUAUCCUCCAUAAUCAAGAAUUACAAAUCCCCUUUCCCUUGUAAUAAUUAUAUUCCACAAAUUGAUAUUUCAAAACCAGAAAGCAAGAAUCAACUUGUUAAAGCUUGUGAAGAAUUUGGUUUCUUUAAAGUUGUAAAUCAUGGUGUCCCUAUGGAAUUUAUUACAAAACUUGAAUUAGAAGCCAUAAAAUUCUUUUCAUCUCCAAUGUCUCAAAAAAGAAAAAAUAGGACCCCUUGACCCUUUUGGCUAUGGGAAUAAGAAAAUUGGACCUAAUGGUGAUGUUGGUUGGGUUGAAUACAUUCUUUUGUCAACAAAUUCUGACUUCAAUUACCAAAAAUUUGCAUCUAUUUUGGGUCUCAAUCCAAAAGAUAUAAGGUAAAUAUAUAACUUUACUUCUUUCUUUUUCUUCUCUGAGUCAGAAUUUAA